GAUCCUACGGGAGGCAGCAGUGGGGGAUAUUGCACAAUGGGGGAAACCCUGAUGCAGCGACGCCGCGUGAGCGAUGAAGUAUUUCGGUAUGUAAAGCUCUAUCAGCAGGGAAGACAAAAGGACGGUACCUGCAGAAGAAGCCACGGCUAACUACGUGCCAGCAGCCGCGGUAAUACGUAGGUGGCAAGCGUUAUCCGGAAUUACUGGGUGUAAAGGGUGUGUAGGCGGGUUUGCAAGUCAGAUGUGAAAAUUAUGGGCUCAACCCAUAACCUGUGUCUGAAACUA
rnacentral:rRNA from 1 species